GACACUAUAGCCAAGUGGUUAAGGCGACAGAUUAGAAUGUUCCUCACCAACAAUCUGUUUCUCUCUGAGAGCGUAGGUUCGAACCCUACUGGUGUCG